GAAAUGCGAUAAGUAAUGUGAAUUGCAGAAUUCAGUGAAUCAUCGAAUCUUUGAACGCACAUUGCGCCCGCCAGUAUUCUGGCGGGCAUGCCUGUUCGAGCGUCAUUUCAACCAUCAAGCCCCGGGCUUGUGUUGGGGACCUGCGGCUGCCGCAGGCCCUGAAAAGCAGUGGCGGGCUCGCUGUCACACCGAGCGUAGUAGCAUACAUCUCGCUCUGGGCGUGCUGCGGGUUCCGGCCGUUAAACCACCUUCGUAACCCAAGGUUGACCUCGGAUCAGGUAGGGAGACCCGCUGAACUUAAGC
rnacentral:misc_RNA from 1 species